UGUUAAUGGAUCCACAUGAUCUAUGUAAUAGAGCUGAAGUUGCGUCACUUCCUCAUUGUGCCACUGACGUGUCUGAUUUAUUGGGUUCAUUGGUGGUUGGCAAAGAUGCUGGACUUCUUCGCCAUCUUCAGUAAAGGGGGGAUCGUGUUGUGGUGUUUUCAGGGGGCCGGAGUGGCUGAAUCCUUCACCGGGCCCGUCAACGCUCUCAUCCGCUCCGUCAUCCUGCAGGAGAGGAGUGGCAAUAACUCCUUCACCCACAAUGCCCUCAGUCUUAAAUACAAGCUGGACAAUGAGUUUGAGCUUGUGUUUGUGGUGGGUUUUCAAAAGAUCCUGACGUUGACGUAUGUGGACAAGUUCAUAGAUGAUGUCCAGCUGCACUUCAGAGAUCGAUACAAGAAUGAGCUGGAGCAGAGAGGCGCCCUAAAGUUUCUGCUCAAUAAUUUUGAGUUUGGAGAUGACUUCCACAGACUUCUGCGGGAGGCAGAGGGCAGCAGCAAAGCCAAGGCCUCCGUCUCUAUGAGGACUUUCAAUGAGUCCCAGAAAUCCCAGAAAACUGUGAAGUCUAUGAUUGAGACAAAAGAUGGAGACAAAAGCAAGGAGCAAGGAGGCAAGAAAAGUAAAAAUGCCAAAAAGGAGGGUGAGAAAUCUGAAUCAGGAGGGGAUCAGGCUAAAGCUGCCUCACAGGCUGCCUCGAAAAAAGCUGUGGAGAAUGGAAACGAGGGCCUGACCCAAGAGGAGAUUAUCGAGAGGAACCGUGCCAAGUUCAUCAGCAAGCAGUUGGGUGGAGGAAAGCCAGAAAAGUCCAGUAAGUCCCCUAAACCCCAGAAGCCAAAGGGGAAGAUGAAGCGGGUGUGGGAUAUGAGCGGGAAGAGCUUUGGAGAGCUGGAUUACAGUGGAACCAAUGGCGACAACUCCAGUGACGCACAGAACCAAGACCCUGAUGCCACAGCUGAACCGCUGAUCCAGGUAGAUUCAAUGAAGGGUGACCUGCGAGGUGUCGAUUAUGAGUCCUCAGAUGAUGAGGAUGAAGAAGUGCAAGAAGAGGACAGAGUUAUAGUGGCAAACACUAACAAGAAAGGAGCCAAAAAGGGUGGUUUCGGGGGAAUGUUUGGGAUGCUGAAAGGCCUGGUGGGAUCUAAGAAUCUGACUCAGGAGGACAUGGAGCCAGUUCUGGACAAGAUGAGGGAUCACCUCAUCACCAAGAAUGUAGCAGCCGAAAUCGCCUCCCAGCUCUGCAACUCUGUGGCCAAGAAACUGGAAGGCAAAGUCAUGGGCACUUUCACCACCGUGGCCUCUACAGUAAAGCAGGCUCUGCAGGACUCUCUGGUGCAGAUCUUGCAGCCCAAGCGGCGUGUGGACCUCUUGAGGGACGUGCUAGAGGCUCGUUCUCAGCGCAAACCCUUCGUCAUCACCUUCUGUGGGGUGAACGGCGUCGGCAAGUCCACCAACCUCGCCAAGAUCUCUUAUUGGCUGAUCGAGAACGGCUUCACGGUGCUCAUCGCAGCCUGUGACACGUUCCGUGCGGGAGCCGUGGAGCAGCUGAGGACUCAUCAGCGCCGUCUGAACUCUCUGCACCCCCCUGAGAAGCACGGAGGGCAGCCCGCCAUACAGCUCUUCGAGAAGGGCUAUGGCAAGGAUGCUGCUGGGAUCGCCAUGGAGGCUAUCGCCUUUGCUCGUAACCAGGGCUUUGACGUGGUGCUGAUCGAUACCGCCGGCCGGAUGCAGGAUAACGCUCCUCUGAUGACGGCUCUGGCGAAGCUGAUCACAGUCAACACCCCAGACCUUGUCCUGUUUGUGGGAGAAGCGCUGGUGGGAAAUGAGGCUGUGGAUCAGCUGGUUAAAUUUAAUCAAGCGCUGGCUGAUCAUUCCAAGACUGACAAACCUAGGCUCAUCGACGGCAUCGUUCUCACCAAGUUUGACACCAUUGAUGACAAGGUGGGCGCUGCCAUCUCCAUGACCUACAUCACAGGUCAGCCCAUCGUGUUUGUGGGCACCGGGCAGACGUACAGCGACCUGCGCAGCCUCAACGCCAGGGCUGUGGUCAGCGCGCUCAUGAAGGCCUGAGAUGCACCACCCACAAGACCUGCCUCUGCUGCUCCAGCGACGGUUUCGCUACAGCUAGAUAUGAGACCCUGUGACCCUCUCAGCUUCCCGUGAAUGCAGACAUUUUGCUUUCCUACAGGUUUAACUGAAAUUCAGUUCAUAUUUAGGAUCCUUCUUGUGUUUUGUUCCAGGGGGAAAAAAAAAAGUGUUUCAGUUUAAUGAGUGGAAGGAAUAUAAUUUGACUUGAUCUCACCUCAGCAACCAUUUUUGAUUGACAUGCAACAGCCAAUCAGACAGCAGUGCUUUGGUUUUCAUUUAAAUAAUGAGAAGGAAAGUAUUUUUGCACUUUUCCACAUCUGUUCUCUACGAACAAGUGUUCUUGUACUUUCUGCCCACCCAAAAAAAGAUGGACUGAGGUGUUACUCAAAUGUUAUAAAAGAUAUAUAAUAUAUUCUAAAUCUAUUUUGUCUACUUUUUAUUUGAUUAAUGUAGGUACAUUCAGAUGAUGGCCCAGCAACCCAAACUGUCUCAUGAAAUCACUACCAUAGUGCCUCAGCUCAUUACAUUAGCUGUUGUUCCCAAAACAAUUCUGAGCAAACGCUGCCUUUUCUCAUUCUUCCUUUUAUACUCAGGCUUUUCAUGUCUCUGGAGAUGAAAAGUAUUAUAAGGUAUUGUAAGGUUUGGUGCUUGAGGUUUGAAGGCACCUCAGCAAAGAGUUCUAAAAUGCUGCGUAUACCAAACUGUCUGAAGCCCUACGAAGUUACAUAUUUGUUUUAAUUCAUUAGUGACUGUACUGCCAUCAUCUUUUCUUUGAUACCUGCGCCCUUUUAUUUUAGAACAAAGUCAGGUCUUAAUUCUCUUUCACCUCAUGUUAAUUUGCGCUAGCACAAUGGCAAGACUGGAGAGCUUCAUAGAGAAGAUUUGUUGUACUUUGAGAAUGUGUAAUAUUUCUUAAAUAAAGCUGCUAUAAUAGCUUGUAAUGACGUGUCUUGUUUGGUACUAGUAGUUCGUAAUUGUUUCCUACACUGCUAUUCUCACCAAUGCUGAAUUCUGUGGAAGUCUGUUUUUCUGCCACAGGAAAAAAAAAAUUGAACUGCGACUUGUCAUCUCAAAAUUCUGAGUUUUUAUCUCAAUUCAGACUUUUCUUGCAAAUCUGAAUUUGAAAAUGUCAGAAUGGCAAGACAUAAACUCAAGAAUUCUGACUUUUUUUUCUCACAAUUCCAAGUUUCCAUGUGGAACACAGAUUAGUCCUGUCACUUUAAGAAAUUACUCCUAAUGUCAUCUUGUUAUGAGUAUAAAAGAAACCAGUCCAUAGAAUGUGUAUCUUCCAUUCAAACCUCUCCCACCACCAUGGGCAAGACCAAAGAGCUGUCAAAGGAUGUCAGAGACAAGAUUGUAGACCUAUCCCUCUUAAUUCUCUUUUACCUCUAGCAAUUCUGUAUAUUUAUAUUCUCAGUUGUGAGGAAAAAAAUUUGAAUGGUGAGAAAUUCAGAAUUGGAUAAAAAAAUUCUGAAACGUUUAAUUCCAUGGCGAAACAGACUUCCAUAGAAUUCACAUUCCAUAUAUAAUGUCUACAGAAGUAAUACAAAGGGGUAUGUCUGCUGUUUUGCAAAAACAAACAUAACCUCAUGAUUGGUGUAAUUUUUUUUAAAUCAUGAUUUUUAUAGGCUGGUUCUUAUGAAUCGAUCAAAAAGAAUUACAAACUCAUGACUUAUCGGUUUAAGUCACCAAAUCUAGCAGCGUGUUUACUGAACUACUUUAACAGCUGACUCACUGACUGGAUGUUUAUGACAGCGUACAGUCAAACAUUUUCUCAAAAGUACAGUUUUUGCACAGCUAGAGUAACCAGAAGCGGAUGACACCGGAAGUCUCGCACAUUCAAGUUACAAAUGGCAGCUAUCGCUUGUACUUUUAAAAAUAAGGUGGGGGUAGAUGUAAUUCCUGAAAACAUAUUCACUGCAAAUUUGGUACCAAACUGAUGCUUUAUUUUAAAAUAGCAUUAUAAAUACCUAAAAGACAUUUGUGGACAGAGAUGAUAAAAUAGUGGACCACUGGAGUUAAAAUACAAAAGGUUUAUAAACAACUGUUUACAUUUCUUUUUACUGACCAAGCAUUUACAACUAGAAAUGGGGACUAACUGUCAGUGUCAAAGUGCAAUAAAAUGUAUUGAAAGCUGUGUAGCUUGAGAGGAAUGAUGGCAUUAUAUCAUUAUCCUCAUUAUUAGUCUCGUGACAAGUUCAAGUAGAUUCAUGGAAGCGGAGAUGCUUCUAGAAGUAAAGCCUGAGAAAUCACAUGAAUUUUGAGUCACACCUCAGUCACCCUAACGAGGUGUUUAUUGCAUUUCCUCCUCCUUACAGGACAGAUUUAGUAAUAAAAGAAAUGUCAUUUCAGUCAUAUUUCAACCAAUAGAACUGUGUGUGUGUGUGUGUGUGUGUAUACUGUAUAUGGAAGCUUCCACAACA